rnacentral:lncRNA from 1 species
UAUUUAAUCACAAAAUAUAAAUAGAAAAAACUUAAAUAUAAAAUAAUUAGGAAAUUGUGUAAAAACAUAAGAUGAAAUACUGUGUGUGGUAUAUAAGAAUACUUAACACUCUAAAAAACGGUACAUGAUAUAUUAAGUAGGAAUAGUGGAUUACAAAGCAGGAAGUACAAUAUGGUCCAAAUAUUCUUUAAAACAUUCUUAUUUUUAUAUAAGCACAGAAGAAAAUCAAUAUAGCCCUCCACACCUGAAGGAGUGGUAAGUGAAUGGUGGGACUAUAAGUGGUUUUUAUUUUCUUCAUGCUUUACUGAUUCUCAAAUAUUCUACUGUCAGCAUGUAUUUUUUUGGAAUUAGAAAAACACCCCUCCAGUAAUAAUGUGUAGUUCUUAACAUUGUUCAUCAGAUGUUUCUGACUCCCCCACUUCUGUCUAAUUACAUCACAGGUUGGCACUUCCUGGCCCCUUGUGGUUGUGUAGAGUCACAUGACCAGUUCUGGCCAAUGAAGUGGAAGUGCCACCUAUCACUUCCUGAUUGGAUCAUUUGGUGAUCAGUGUUAGGCUCUAGAACUUUUCCCCUCCAGGACAGCAACCAAGUUGUAUUGAAGUUGAUUUCUUCUGCCAACUGUACACCCCUCAGUGGUCACCAGAGCUAGAGCCCCUGUACAGACUUGUGCUAGACUCAGAGCACAAAUGAGAAAUAAAAUCAUGUUGAUUUAAACCUUGUAUAUCUGGGGAUUUUUUGUUGUUGCUGCUGCUACGGCAGCAUAACCUAGUCCAUCCUGACCAAUACAAAUAUGGCUAGAAAAAGUUCCUGGAAGUAUAUUCACCAAAACUGAACAUUCAUUUUCUUUAAGUAGUAAGACCAAUUGAUUCUCUUCUUCUUUCUACUUUUCCCAGUUGUCUAUAAUGAGUAUGGCUUUCUUUUUAGUUGAAAAAUAAUCAAAUAAACUCUAUAAAUAAAACAAGACAUCACGGCAAGUCAAUCUGAUAUGUUUGUUCUUUUCUUAGAAGAUUCAGUGGAUUUCCAUUGAUUCCAUCGUAUUCUUCCACUUCUUCCCUUAGGUUGGGUGGGCUGGCCUGAACCGAGGUGGGGGUGGAGUACUUAUGGAGCCAGAUGUUUCAUCCCUGAUGGCAGUAGAUUACGCAGAGCAUAGGGUGGAGUUCAGAAAAACUGAAAACCGCAGAUGGAAUCUCGCUCUGUCUCCCAGGCUGGAGUGCAGUGGCAUGAUCUCCGCUCACUGCAACCUCCGCCUCCCAAGUUCAAGCGAUUCUCCUGCCUCAGCCUCCCGAGUAGCUGGGACUACAGGCACGUGCCACCAUGCUUGACUAAUUUUUGUAUUUUUAGUAGAGACAGGGUCUCACCAUGUUGGCCAGGCUGGUCUUGAGCUCCUGACCUCUAGUGAUCCACCCGCCUCAGCCUCCCAAAGUGCUGGGAUUACAGGCAUGAGCCACCAUGCCAGGCCAAAGCUGCUGAUCUUAAUAAAAAUGAUUCAUUCAGUCUUUUGCAUGUAAGAGAAAAGAAUUACCUACAUCAGUCACUGAGUUAUUUUCCAUAUCUGCACAGUAUUAAAUACUUUUCUUA